UGGGGGAUAUUGCACAAUGGAGGAAACUCUGAUGCAGCGACGCCGCGUGAGUGAAGAAGUAUUUCGGUAUGUAAAGCUCUAUCAGCAGGGAAGAAAGACCUCGAAAGAGGGGAUGACGGUACCUGAGUAAGAAGCCCCGGCUAACUACGUGCCAGCAGCCGCGGUAAUACGUAGGGGGCAAGCGUUAUCCGGAUUUACUGGGUGUAAAGGGAGCGUAGACGGUAAAGCAAGUCUGAAGUGAAAGCCCGCGGCUCAACUGCGGGACUGCUUUGGAAACUGUUUAACUGGAGUGCUGGAGAGGUAAGCGGAAUUCCUAGUGUAGCGGUGAAAUGCGUAGAUAUUA
rnacentral:rRNA from 1 species